GAUGAACGCUGGCGGCGUGCCUAAUACAUGCAAGUCGAGCGAAGGGACGAGAAGCUUUCUUUUCUGAUGUUAGCGUCGGAAAGGUGAGUAACACGUGGAUAACCUCCCUAUAAGACUGGGAUAACUUCGGGAAACCGGAGCUAAUACCGGGUAAUCUUUUUAACCGCAUGGUUCAAGAGUGAAAAACGGUCUUGCUGUCACUUAUAGAUGGAUCCGCGCUGCAUUAGCUAGUUGGUAAGGUAACGGCUUACCAAGGCAACGAUGCAUAGCCGACCUGAGAGGGGGAUGGGCAAAACGGGAAUGGAGCCAAGGCCCGGACUCCUACGGGAGGCACAAGGAGGGAAUCUUCCGAAAUGGGCGAAAGCCUGCCGGAGCAAGGCCGCUGGAGUGAUGAGGGUCUUCGGAUCGUAAACUCUUGUUAUCAGGGAAGAACGUAUGUGUACGUAAAUGUGCAAAUUUUGACGGUACCUAAUCAGAAAGCCACGGCUAACUACGUG
rnacentral:rRNA from 1 species